rnacentral:rRNA from 1 species
AGCUCCAAUAGCGUAUAUUAAAGUUGUUGCAGUUAAAAAGCUCGUAGUUGGAUUUGUGGCUGUCGUGAGCGGCCUGGCACUUGGUGCUAGUGCCUGCCUGCGACGCCAUCCUUGGGUGGAACCUGUGUGGCAUUAGGUUGUCGUGCAGGGGAUGCCCAUCGUUUACUGUGAGAAAAUUAGAGUGUUCAAAGCAGGCUUAUGCCAUUGAAUAUGUUAGCAUGGAAUAAUAAGAUAGGACCUUGGUACUAUU